rnacentral:ncRNA from 1 species
AACAGUAAAAGGCAAAUCUAUUGAAAGAUAGUGACGCAAAGUUACAGGUCUAAAAUUAGAGGAGUUCUCUGAUUAUGACGGCUGGGCUGCCUGA